AGUCAUAUGCUUGUCUCAAAGAUUAAGCCAUGCAUGUAUCAGUUCACACCUCAAAACGGUGAAACCGCGAAUGGCUCAUUAAAUCAGCUAUUGUUCCUUGGAUCUUACAAAUCUACUUGGAUAACUGUAGUAAUUCUAGAGCUAAUACACGCAAAUAUGUGCCGACCUUACGGGAGGCGCGAGUUUAUUAGAUCAAAACCAACCGGCUUGCCGAUGGAUUGAUGACUCUGGAUAACCUUUCUGAUCGCACGGCCUUGUGCUGGCGACGUAUCCUUCAAAUGUCUGCCCUAUCAACUUUAGAUGGUAGGUGAUAUGCCUACCAUGGUUAUUACGGGUAACGGGGAAUCAGGGUUCGAUUCCGGAGAGGGAGCCUUAGAAACGGCUACCACAUCUAAGGAAGGCAGCAGGCGCGCAAAUUACCCACUUCCAGUGCGGAGAGGUAGUGACGAAAAAUAACGAUAUAGGACUCAUUUGAGGCCCUAUAAUUGGAAUGAGUACAAUUUAAAUCCUUUAACGAGGAUCAAUUGGAGGGCAAGUCUGGUGCCAGCAGCCGCGGUAAUUCCAGCUCCAAUAGCGUAUAUUUAAGUUGCUGCAGUUAAAAAGCUCGUAGUUGGAUCUCAGGUAAGGGGUCGCCGGUUUGCCUUGCGGUAUUACUGGUGAUUCCUCCUAAAAAGUCGUUAGUUGUUUUUCGUGCUCUUCAUUGAGUGCUUAAGAUACUCGGCACGUUUACUUUGAAAAAAUUUGAGUGCUCAAAGCAGGCCUUGUGCUUGAAUAGUGUUGCAUGGAAUAAUAGAAUAGGACUUUGGUUCUAUUUUGUUGGUUUUCGGUACCAAAGUAAUGAUUAAAAGAGACGGACGGGGGCAUUUGUAUGGCGGCGUGAGUGGUGAAAUACUUGGAUCGUCGCCAGACAAACAACUGCGAAAGCAUUUGCCAAGGAUGUUUUCAUUAAUCAAGAACGAAAGUCAGAGGUUCGAAGACGAUCAGAUACCGUCCUAGUUCUGACCAUAAACGAUGCCAACUGACAAUCAGAAGCGGUUGCUAAUAAGACCCUUCUGGCAGUCCCUGGGAAACCUUUAAGUUUUUAGGUUCUGGGGGAAGUAUGGUUGCAAUGCUGAAACUUAAAGGAAUUGACGGAAGGGCACCACCAGGAGUGGAGCCUGCGGCUUAAUUUGACUCAACACGGGAAAACUCACCCGGCCCGGACACUGCAAGGAUUGACAGAUUGAUAGCUCUUUCAUGAUUCGGUGGGUGGUGGUGCAUGGCCGUUCUUAGUUGGUGGAGCGAUUUGUCUGGUUAAUUCCGAUAACGAACGAGACUCUAGCCUGCUAAAUAGUACACACGUGCAUUGCAGCGUGUGCUUACUUCUUAGAGGGAUUCGCGGCGCUUAGCCGUACGAAAUUGAGCAAUAACAGGUCUGUGAUGCCCUUAGAUGUCCGGGGCCGCACGCGCGCUACACUGACAGUGUCAGCAAGUGUUCUACCUGGUCCGAGAGGAUCGGGAAACCUUGUGAAUCAUUGUCGUGACAGGGAUCGGGGUUUGCAAUUAUCCCCCGUGAACGAGGAAUUCCCAGUAAGCGCAAGUCAUAAGCUUGCGCUGAUUACGUCCCUGCCCUUUGUACACACCGCCCGUCGCUACUACCGAUUGAAUGGUUUAGUGAGGUCAUUGGAUUGAGACUAAUUGAGUGGUUCGCCGCUUAGUGGGUUUUGAGAAGACGAUCGAACUUGAUCAUUUAGAGGAAGUAAAAGUCGUAAC
rnacentral:rRNA from 1 species